UGGCGGACGGGUGAGUAUGUCUGGGAAACUGCCUGAUGGAGGGGAUAACUACUGGAAACGGUAGCUAAUACCGCAUAACGUCGCAAGACCAAAGAGGGGGACCUUCGGGCCUCUUGCCAUCGGAUGUGCCCAGAUGGGAUUAGCUAGUAGGUGGGGUAACGGCUCACCUAGGCGACGAUCCCUAGCUGGUCUGAGAGGAUGACCAGCCACACUGGAACUGAGACACGGUCCAG
rnacentral:rRNA from 1 species